rnacentral:rRNA from 1 species
GAUGAACGCUAGCGGGAGGCCUAACACAUGCAAGCCGAGCGGUAUUGUUUCUUCGGAAAUGAGAGAGCGGCGUACGGGUGCGUAACACGUGUGCAACCUGCCUUUAUCUGGGGGAUAGCCUUUCGAAAGGAAGAUUAAUACUCCAUAAUAUAUUGAACGGCAUCGUUUAAUAUUGAAAGCUCCGGCGGAUAGAGAUGGGCACGCGCAAGAUUAGCUAGUUGGUGAGGUAACGGCUCGCCAAGGCGAUGAUCUUUAGGGGGCCUGAGAGGGUGAUCCCCCACACUGGUACUGAGACACGGACCAGACUCCUACGGGAGGCAGCAGUGAGGAAUAUUGGUCAAUGGGUGCAAGCCUGAACCAGCCAUCCCGCGUGAAGGACGACUGCCCUAUGGGUUGUAAACUUCUUUUGUAUAGGGAUAAACCUACCCUCGAGAGGGUAGCUGAAGGUACUAUACGAAUAAGCACCGGCUAACUCCGUG